AGGACCAGCAUUCCACGAAGGCAGCCCUUUUCUAGAUGGAGAAAACAGAACCUGAAGGCACCCGUUUCCCUAAACUGCUCUCGCUCAUGUGCUUCCGAGGCGUUCGAUCGGGAAGUGUCGGUCUGCAGCUGCUAAGCCAAGAAGAUCUGGGAAGGAGUCAGUCAGGGAGCCUUGGGCUGGAGAUCCAGGGGCUCUGGGAGUGGCUGCCAGAGCAAUUCACGUUGACCUGGGUCACCCUCAACUUAAGGCUCAUGACUCCCCUAGAUCCUCAGGGUCCACACUAAAUGUGAUGAAAUAUGAUGCAAGCCACAUAUUUACUUUUGCAUUUUGUAGUAACCACAUUUUAAAAAGUAAAACAAAAGAAGUGAAGGUAAUUGGAAUAAUAUCACGGAUUUAAACAAAUCUAUCCGAAAUACCAGGUCUACAUGUAUAAAAUAUUUUAACAUUAAC
rnacentral:lncRNA from 10 species